AUUCUACUUGGAUAACUGUGGUAAUUCUAGAGCUAAUACAUGCUUCAAUAUUUCCGACCUUAACGGGGAGGAAGGCUUUUAUUAGACCAGAACCUAUUCGGUGCCGCGGGUUCGCGCUCGCGAGUGCCGGUUUCUUGGUGACUCUGAAUAACUUUGGGCUGAUCGCACGGUCUUUGCACCGGCGACGGGUCUUUCAAAUGUCUGACUUAUCAACUGUCGAUGGUAGGUUAUGCGCCUACCAUGGUUGUCACGGGUAACGGGGAAUCAGGGUUCGAUUCCGGAGAGGGAGCCUGAGAAACGGCUACCACAUCCAAGGAAGGCAGCAGGCGCGCAAAUUACCCACUCCCGGCACGGGGAGGUAGUGACGAAAAAUAACAAUACGGGACUCAUCCGAGGCCCCGUAAUUGGAAUGAGUACACUUUAAAUCCUUUAACGAGGAUCCAUUGGAGGGCAAGUCUGGUGCCAGCAGCCGCGGUAAUUCCAGCUCCAAUAGCGUAUAUUAAAGUUGCUGCGGUUAAAAAGCUCGUAGUUGGAUCCCAGUUGCAGACGGGCGGUCCGCCUCAUGGCGGUUCACUGCCCCGUUCUCGACAUACCUCCGGUUAUAUUUGUCCCGCGAUGCUCUUUACCGGGUGUCGCGGGGGGCCGGUACGUUUACUUUGAAAAAAUUAGAGUGCUCAAAGCAGGCGAUGGCCAGAAUAAUGGUGCAUGGAAUAAUGGAAUAGGACCUCGGUUCUAUCUUGUUGGUUCUUCGGAACACGAGGUAAUGAUUAAUAGGGACGGACGGGGGCAUUCGUAUUGCGACGUUAGAGGUGAAAUUCUUGGAUCGUCGCAAGACGAACUACUGCGAAAGCAUUUGCCAAGAAUGUUUUCGUUAAUCAAGAACGAAGUUAGAGGUUCGAAGCGAUCAGAUACCGCCCUAGUUCUAACCAUAAACGAUGCCAACCAGCGAUCCGUCGGCGUUACUUCGAAUGACCCGACGAGCAGCUUCCGGGAAACCAAAGUUUCUGGGUUCCGGGGGAAGUAUGGUUGCAAAGCCGAAACUUAAAGGAAUUGACGGAAGGGCACCACCAGGAGUGGAGCCUGCGGCUUAAUUUGACUCAACACGGGAAACCUCACCAGGCCCGGACACUUGGAGGAUUGACAGAUUGAGAGCUCUUUCUUGAUUCAGGGGGUGGUGGUGCAUGGCCGUUCUUAGUUGGUGGAGCGAUUUGUCUGGUUAAUUCCGAUAACGAACGAGACCCUUUCCUGC
rnacentral:rRNA from 1 species